AGAAAAUUUGGCUUCUGUGCUUAACCGCUACAAGAGGCGAUUAUCCAACAAGCUGAGCGGGAGUAAAUGAGGGGUCUAGGUCAAGCAAGGUUGUGACAUAAGGUUCUCAAUCUGCCUCAACCUCAAGUGGGUAAAUAUAGGGCUGCUUGAUUUUGAAAAGCAGCGUAUAUACUCUGAUCAGAAGUACAGUUAUGGGGCUCUCUCUCUUGUGUAUUUAAAAGUUAAUGUGCUGCAAAAUUUACUUGGUUGUGUGUUAUAUAUACAUAGGAUAAAGAUUAAGGGAUACGUAAUUGCAGCAUGAUUAAAGAAAAUGGGUAGAAAGGUGGAAAGUUGCUUGAAACGCAUUUUCUGGUUUCAGUAACUUGUCACCUUUAAGGCAAUGUAGAUUAUUGCAUUGGGUGGGGGGAAAGUUUCUAUACCUAAUCUCUAUCCUACUAAAAAUGGUGUAUAUCUUUAGUUUCUCUACUGAAAAACAGACAAUGUUACUGCCUUUUUGAGUUUACAACAGCUCAUGUAAAACAGGAGCUUGAUUGUGUCAUUGUUCAGUUGCUCUAGCACAUCUCAGGAAUUGACUAUGUAUCACUUCAGGGAUGGAAAUAUUCAAAAAUGGAUGUCAGCUGUUUAGCCGUUCAAUAGCUAAUGAUUAACUGCUGACUGUAAUCGUUGAAUCAAAUAGACACUUGUGGUGGGAAAGUUCUUAUUUUGCUUUAUUUUAGGGAUUUCAGUAGCCCACAUCAGCCCAGUGAUGAGAAGCUUUUCUCCUAAAACAAGCGAAGAAGGAACCCCAAUUAGAUCAGUUUUGAAUGAAGCCUCUUCCCUUUUACAGAAAUUUCCAUCAUUUCUGUGCAACAGCUUGAGACUUUGCUUAAUUUGAAUCACAGGGACAGAGAGGUAAGCUUUCUCUUCUUAUUGAAUUCCAUUAUGAGCUUUACUUUUGCUUUCUUUGAAUGAGCAAAUGUAAUUACAAAUUUGCAAUUAAUAUAGUGCUUAUAUCUAAGUAGAUCAUUUUAAUCGUUU
rnacentral:misc_RNA from 1 species